GCCCUGUACUGGUCAGGUUUCUCCAAGAACCUGACUCCACCCUCUCAGAACCUCCUCUGAACUUUUGAUUUUCCUUAUUUAGAAUCCUUACAACCCUUGUUAGGACCAGAUAAGGCUUUGCCUUAAAUCCCAAAGUCUUGUCCUUAAACUAAGAUAGGUUGUAAGAAAAAAAAGAGAGCAACGGAGAGAAAUUGAAAAUCCGAUCUGAAUGCCUCAGAC
rnacentral:lncRNA from 1 species